ensembl:lncRNA
UAAAUACAAAUAUUUAAUAUAAAUAUAUAAUAUAUAUCAAGAUAUCUUACAUAUAUGUAAAAUGUUUCAAACCUUCUUAUAUUUUAGGAAUAAAUCUACCCUCACCUGGCAUUUUUUGUGAGCUUGCAUCCUAGACCUUUGUAUAUUCUUCUUCCUGUUCAUUUAUGUUCAUUACUGGAUUUUCUGCCUCCAGUCCUAACAGGAAAAGAGUAUACAAUUAUUCUCCCAUUCUUUCUGACACAAAGUCAAAUACAGCGAUCAUUUCAUCUUAAUCAGCUCUAAGACACUAGUGACUAAAAGGAUUCCAGAGACUUUCAUUCUUCUCUCCCUGUUUUCCCUUUCUCUGAGCUUUUUGAUUGUUGCCUUGUUUCUCCUUACCCAUCUUUUAUCCCAUCUCUUUCCCUUAUUUCCUUUUGACAGUACUUUUGCUUUUUAAAACAGAUCUCUUUAAAUUCUAAGGAGGGAAGGACCUCUCUGUGGUGAAUGUGGCUCCUGUAUUAAUUCUAUUACAGUAGUUUUACUGACUGGGGUCAGUGCUUUAAUUCAUCAUCUUAGCCUUUCUUCUCUCAUGUUCAGAAGUGUGUGAGGAGGAUCUCUAGCAUUCUGCUAGAGGGUGAUAAUGCUGUAGCUUUCAGAAGAAAGGAAUUGGAAGCAAGAGUGAAAGUUAAGUACUCUCCUUAUACCUGACCAGCACCAGAAGAUCUUAUAACUGGUGUUAAAUCUCAUGUUCUUUACCUACAAGUAGCAAUGUCAGUUUAUCACGGUUUUGUCUUGGGCAAAUGAAUUUCUGGCUUACAGUACAAAGUAAUAAGCAUAUUUGGUUAUUUCAUUGUGUUCUUGUCAUCAUUAAUAAAGAAAUUUUCUGUAUUAUGUGUCCACAGCAAUUUUUCUUAUCCAAGAGAUUCGUUUUUCCUCUUUAUUUUCUUGAUGACAAGCUUAGAAACUGGCAUAAGGUGACAAAACAUUUAAAAAACAAACCCACAAACUUGUGUAAUCAUAGGUUGAGCAUAUCAUUUCAAUAAAUAUCUCACUCUGACUCACAUUUUAUAUUAAUUGUUUAAAUCUGUUUUAUUUCUGGUGCUGAAAUACGCUUGGACUGAGUUCAAAAUAUUUCCCAAAGUUUAUGUGCCCAUCAUCUAAAAUUAAUGGCUUGAAUACAUUCCUAUGGCCAUUAAUUGCAGUCUGGUCUAAUAACCUUUAUUCAUAUUGAUGGGAUCUAUUCCUCAGUGGUAAGAACUCAACUGAGCAGUGAUUAAUUACAUAUAGUACAGUUUAAAAUGACAAACAUACUUUCAAAACCCAGGAAAACAAAGCCAAAAUCUAUUUAAAGGAAAUGAGAUUAUUUGGAGUGGGCUACUGGAUCCACUAAUGUCAGCAGGAGUUUUGUCAUUCAUAUCAGAGGAACCUUUCCAGAUGCCUGGCUAGUUAUUCAGGCUUUAGAUCUGUCUGAAUGCAAAAUAGAAGUGGGAUGGUUUUUUUGUUUACCAAUACAAUUACGUUGCAUUGGUAUGCACUGUAAUUAUAUUAAAUAAAUACAUAAGGGUUGUUUAUGACUACGUACUGAAGCAUAAAUUUGAGGAUGUCUGCAAUAAAAUCAGUUCUAUUUGCUACAAGAAAAUUUAAUUUUCUGGACAUUCAUUGUAUCAACAGAAAAAUAAAGAAGGAACAAUCCCUAAAAUGUCUAUGCCCGUGCCCUUUUUCUUGGUCUUAAUGUAAGACAUUGUAUUUAGGUAAUCCUACAGCAGAAGAAAACAGUUUGCUGUUGAUAUGCUAUUACUUUCAAAAAUGGCAUUCUAGGACUUUGGGUUCUCUGAGCUAAGUAAGAGAAUGUUUCAAGUGCAAGAGAAAAUCAGUCUACAAAUGACUACUUCAUAUUGAAAUAUGCAGUUCACAUAGUCAUACAGAAAACAGGGAGUUCAUCAUUAUUAAAAUCAUUCUAUACUCCAGAAAUGCCCCUAGGGCACUCCGACUGCUAAUGGAUGCACCAUUUACAAGACCAUACCAGAGCUAUUCACGAUGAAACUCCCCUGAAUUUUGUGAGUGUUUAGGUCCUCUGUAUCAAAUAUUCUGAAUUACAGAUCCAUUUAUUUUACACCACAUUAGUUACAAGUGAAGAUACUGUUUGUGAAGUCAACAUUAGGAGGAAAAAUUUCACCAAGAAAGGCUGGAAUGACUAGGGGAUAAAAUGAAGCUUUUGUUUUUAAGAAGUAGUUGAAUCUGAGCUGUAGGACAGGGACUUGAUGAAAACUUCCUAAUCCUCAAACUAUUAUUAUGUCACAAGUGAACUAAUCACAAGCAAACUACAAAUCAAAUAUCAAACCAACCAACCAACCAACCAACCAAAAAAACAAAACAAAACAAACAAACAAACAAAAAAACCAAAACAAACAAACAAAAAAAAACCCACCCAAAAAACCUCAACUAGAAUGUCAACAGGGAGUCAUUUCCCUGUUUUAACUCUAUUUAUUCAACAAAAGCAUAACUUUAGAGAAAAAAAAACAAAACAAACAAAAACAACAACAAUAGCAACAAUACUUCCUUUAGGGAAGUCUUUGGAAUAGGGAGAGUUUAUCCUUGUUCAACAGUGGAAAAUGUUUAGCCAUGUCGCACAGAGAAAUAAAAUGAAUGAGUACUGCUAAAACGUGGGUAGUUUAGCAACACAGAAAAGUCCUUUUGGGUCACAAGCUGAUAUAUUCCUUUGAGUAUUGAUAUAAUGUGCCCAGGGAGGUACUUGAAAUGGAGACAGUAACUCUGUUUCGUGAUUCCCUAAAAUGUCAAUUUUAACCAAUAACGUUUCUUAAAAUUGGCUGCCACUACUACCUGACUUUAUAUAAGUAUUUGGGCAGUAUCCAUAGCCAUGGCAGGCCUGCUAUAUUACUUGUAGAUGGUAACAAAUGAUUUUUCAUGUUUAACAGGUUCAACUCAGACAACUUUCUUUACUUUUGGGUUUUAGGCCUGUUAAUCUAUUUUAAACAACAUGCUCUCCUUGGAUAUUGUAGAAAUGUUUUUCCUGUUUAAACAAAUUGGCAGUAAGUCUCUUGUUAUUAGAAACAGAUUUCAUGCAGUCUGCUUCCAAGUGCUUCACCUCUGCUGCUCCUUCAUGGUCAUUCUCUGCCCUGCUUCAUGUGGGGUCUCACAUCUUGAACUGAUGCCCAUGGCCUUCCCACAGGAUGCAGCUCUCCCAGCACUGCCAGCUCAGUAGCAUGGGUACCAAAACAUCACCAAGAAAACCGACUACAUUAAGAUAGGCAGUUUUAGAAUCUUUAUAGACUGUUGUAUGAAUAUGCAUGUCAAAUGCACAUGUUCUUAGUGUGAUUUUACUUUAACUUCUUUAGUAACAUGACUUCAUUCUGUAAUAGACUUUUUAUGAGUUUUAUAUUUUAUCUAAAUUAAGACCUCCCAUUUCCCCCGUAGCAAAGAAAGAAGAAAGUUUGAAUUAUUUUAUGCUACCAUUUUGCUAAUACAUAUAAGUAUAUAUAAAUAUUUCUUUCAAGUGAUACUUAAAUUUAUAAAGCAUCCAAAAGUUAGAUUAAAGAUAUCUCAAAAAACUUUUUUCCCCUUUGAUAAAGAAAUGCCCCGUAAACAAUCUUUUCCAUCUGACCUAAACUGUUGUUCUAACUUCCUGCUUCUUUGUGCUUGUUAGCCUUACUCUAUAGUUUGGCUAGUGAAGUGAGAAAUUAAUUAUUUGCACAGCCUAGGGGUGAGUGGACAACAUAGUUCUGGUUUCAUCUUUGGAUGCUGUAAAAGAAGAGUGAAAAGCUGUGUUUUAUUUUGUUCAUUUAAAUUUUUCCCUUAAUAAAUCUAGUCAGGCAUGCCUUGCCAAAGAGUUUCCAAGAGUGUGGAUUGGAGAGACCCAGUUAGGAUCCAUCAGUAAAUUAUUUUGCCUGUCAUUUCAUUUGCUGUUAGAAACACCCAAUAACUUUUUCUCUUUUUAAUGUUUUCUGGCAAAACACCACCUCAUCUCCUUUUUUUUUUUUUUUUUUUUUUUUUUUUUUUUUUUUAUAUUUUUCACAGGCUGUGUCAUGCCUUUGUGGGUUAGGACAUUGUAUGACUCAUGGUUUUGUGUCCUUCCCUUGACUACAGGUGCAGGUAGCCGGUAUUUGAGUGUAUUUCACACUUUCUGAACUGUCCUCUCAGACACCAUUAGAUUUGACAAGAUUUAAAAUGCUUGUCACCAAAAAUUAAUAUACUCAAUGUUUGUUUGUUUGUUUUCCAAAAAUGUAUUUGAGGUGUUUUAAAUUUGGAUGUCUAACUUCAGUCAUGCUAGAGGGAACUUAUUUUCUGAAGAGAAAUAAUAUCACAGAUAUUUGCACUUCUACAAUUUCUUAUUUGUACUGUCUUAAAUGCUAUCACAUGGUUGCUGCCAGGACUCAGUACUUGUAAAUCUAUUCUGACAGUCUUUGAUUAGAUGAUUUCUGUUUCCAUCUGUUUUUUCAGUUCCACAGCUUUUGUUAUUUUUUUUCUUUCUUUCUCUCUUAUAUGCCUCCAUCAUACUCCAAUUACUGAUAUAUAAUUAUUAAUUAUAUCUAGCUGUUAUUUUGGCUACUGAUCACCUGCAAUCCAAUUUGCAAUCAAAUAUGUGUUAAAUGUAUUGUGUUUUGUUUUGUUUUGUUUUGUUUUCCUGGAAGUUCCUGGUGCCACCUAUUGGUUUAAAUAUCGAAAUGCAACUGUAGUAAAUAGCAUAAAAGCAAAGACGACUGCAGAAAUAAGCAUUUAAGCCAAGCAUUAAUUAAUUAAUUUAUAAAAGUCAUAUGUAUAUGCAUUUCUGUUACACAUAGGUACCAAUACUAACUUGAAAUAUGCAUCAAUAAUAUGCAUAAUACUAAAGAUAAUGCAAAUUCUCAGUUCUUGUAACUUUAUAAAGUUUACAGUGUUUUCUGAAUUUAAAAGAAUCAAAUAAAGAUCAACACUCCUUCAUAACUGAAAACAUCACUGAUAAAGCAUUGUAAAGGUGGUGUGACAGCUUUUGAUUGUUUCUGUUAAUUUGGCAUUUUAUUAAGGAAUAUGUAUGAAUUUUAAACACGUCUCUUAAUGGCAGUUUUGUAGACUUAUUUCACUAUGAGAUAUAACCCCCAUCUUAAUUAGUGAUUAGAAAUAGACUUUUUAAUGUGGAUAGAAACAUAAUAUAGACAUUUUUUCUCUGUAGUAUGUUGUCUUAUUGGAUAGAUAUAUUUUGUUGCAGAAUGAUACUUCAUUUCUAAUUUACUUAAGGAAUGUAACUUCAGGUAUUUUACCAACCAGGUCAAAAUAGAAAACUACUCACGGCUCUGUUGUAGUACAUUUCUGAGCACAGAGAAUGUAGAAAUAGUGAAUUUGAAGAGCUGCAAAUAUAGGGUCAGAAACGGAGCUAGUCCAUUCACUCUGAUACAAGAUAGGGGUUGAAUACAAGAAAACAAUGAGUCAGUCUGAAGUGGCUAUUCUGGAUGCAUAAAAAAGCCUGAAAUAUUCAUGUACCCUAAAGAAGCCAUAAUUCCGCAGGCAACGUCCCAUGGCAAAACAAGUUUUAGAUUUACAAAAAAGCUGUUUCCAGACUGCUAAAUGAUUUCCUGCCUCAAGUUUUUAUUAGUUAUCAGAGUGAUACAUGGUUUGUUUAAUGAAGCUGAAACACUUUUUUUUUUUUUUUUUUGCAAGAGAUCGCAUUUAAAAGUUAAGCUGAACAAGAGGUGUUAUUAGAAGUCUGAAAUGAAGUACUACAUGAGUUGUUGCUUCUCCAGAAAAUCUGAAAGCAGAGCAAAGUUUGGAAAGCCUUACUCUUUUAUCUUUUUUGAUUACUUUUCCUAUUCUCAUUGUUUUCUAAGACUGGAAAAUCACUGGACAUUCAGCUCAACUCAAUAAAUAGUUGUCUCUAACUGUUUGAUCUCCCAUAGUUUACAGGUAAGAAGAAUAUAGCCGUGACAGAGUUACGUUUAGAGUUUCAAAGCUAUGGUAACAUAGCCUUAGGAAAUGGUGAGACAACCUUAAGCUUGCUUAUAACUUUUUGGAUGACUUUAGACACGUUAUUGUGUUCUCAGUGCAGAUCUUUAUUUCUAGCCAUGCAUUUUUGAAGAUGCAUGUUCUGAAAUACUGUGUUCCACACAGUGGGCUAUCUCAGAGACUACAGAGUGAGUAGUGAUAAUGCACAGUCUUUACAUCAGCAGUAUUGCAUAAUUGUAAAAGGUUAGAUUACAAAAUAGUGCUACAACUACCUAGAAAAAUGAUGUAUGAUUCUGACCUAUUCUUGACUUAGGCUUUUUUUUUUUUUUUUUUUUUUUUUUUUUUUUCUGGGAGUAUUCCUUCUAAUCAUCACCCUGUUAUCUCAGCGCCUGAACUGCUCAAUUUUAAUUGCACAUUUUGUCUCUACUAUGUCUUCACAUAAUUAAUCUGGGAGAUAAAUAGUAGAUUAUGUGAAUUAUUAUUAGUUUACUCACAUAUAACAAGGGAGAUUUUAGUUCUGCUUUCCAAAAGUCAAGCAGUAACUGGUUUCCACUGUAGUAAAGUAUUCUAAAUCUGCUUUCCUUCCAAAAACUGAUUGCAUAGAUAUGUCCUCUUCUCACACAACAGGUCUGUUCCUUACAUUUUUAAAAGGCAAGUCUAUUUAUUUUAAUGUCAGAAAUAAUUUUACUUUCUUCCCUCAGAGGCAAAUAAGAAAGUCUUGUCUACUAUUCUUCUUUGAGGAGAUCCACUGAAAGUGAUUUAUAAAAGCCACUUAUACCCUAACUAAAUCACAGUGAGGCCACUCCAUGUAUACAGACUUCAUUUGGAUCACAAAAAACAAACAAAAAGAAAUUAAUACAUAAUGGGACUUAAGGAAAGGAGUUUAUGAAGGGAAACACUUAGGAAGAAGGACAAGAGGCAACAUGUCUCCUUUCUAUCCAUGUCACUAGUUUUGUAGAAUGUUUUGUGUUGAGUCGCAAGUUAUCCAGGUGAAGGCACAGUGGUGCAGCACUCCACUCUUACCAUCCGUUCUUUCAGCUGGCAGAAAACUUGACUUUUCAUGCCUGGCUCUUGAAAAGAAAACUUGUUACUGUAUGUAGUAGAGCUGAGGUGAGAAUCAUUGAGAAACUGCAAGUUGAAAGCACUGUAACACCAAUUCAGAGUGUAAAGUUUCUGACUAGAAUAACACUUUAACCUCUGUAUUUCAGUUUUUCCAUGUGUUAAAUGUGGCUCAGGAUAAUUACUUCCUUUCCUCACAGGGGUGUUGUGAGAAUUAAUUAGUUAACAUUUGUAUGGAUCUUCCUAGAUACAAAGUGUUAUAUGUGUGCUAAUUAGUUUGAUUAUUAUUAGCAGUGUGUCAUUUGCACUGUCAGGAAACCCAUACAUUAAUAAUCCAGAAUAACAGCUCAGAUUUAUAUAUUACAUUUUAGCUAACAGAUUAGAAAUGCCUCUCUUAAAAGAAACAGUAGAAGAAAUAAAGGUAUGCAUUGUGUAGCUAAAUAGGUUUGUCACCCAAGAGUGCCAUUUUAAUCUCAUAAACAUUAACAAAAUACUGCUGUAGUGGGUUUUAAUUCUCAAAGCAAUCAUGAAAACUAUUUUACCACAUAGGUGUUCUGGACACUGGAUCUUCAAUUACAGGGAAAAUUUAAAAGUGUGUAGAAAGAUGGCCUUUGGAUGAGAGGUAGCAUCCCACUAGAUAUGAAUAUAUCCAUAAUCAGGCUCUUAGAAUUGGCUAUAAUUAAGCAGUUGGCAGUAAAUCUCUCUGUAUAUGUUUCCAGUAGUGUCAUUCAUAAGGCUUGAGGCUAAAGCUAAUUCAUAUUGGCCUUAUGUACUAAGAAAAGCAAGAAUUCACUGGAAGUAUGCCCCAGGGUGGCACUUCUGUGUUAUAGGAGAAAGAACGUAUUAAAAGAAAAAGAAUGAGCUUUCAUGAGAACUGUAACAUAGGAAAACUCAUUUCCUAGAGAUGUGUCUGGAAGUCAUUCACACUGCCUUUCAAAGACCAGAACAAUAUUAUUAGAUAUACUAAGGGGGAAAAAAAAAAAGAAAAAAAAGAAAAAAAAAAGAGAAGUACCCUGUAUAAAUCACUCCAAAAAGCAAGUCUGACAAAUGAAGCUCUUAUAAUAGGUGAUGGUCCCUGUACUACCCUUUUUCGUUAAAUUUUCAUAAUCAGAAGUAACUGCAACUCAUUCCUCUCUUUGCUCUCUCUGGACUUCCCAGGCCUUUAUUCGUUUCCCUUUCCUAUUAUCAUCCUCUCUAUGUAACCUUUCUAUUUAUUCCAUUUUAUCCUUAUCGUGUCUUGAUUAAUUCCCUUCUCUUCCCACACAUCAUAAAUAAGAUGCUUCUCUUUCUGUAAUAACACUGUAUGUCAUGAAACACUAAUGUCACAGUGAGCUAUGCUUUUAUAUGUUGAAAGCAGUGAGUUACAUGACAAGAACAUUGCAACCAUAAACCCUCUGGAGUUGGGAAUAUAAUUCCUCUCCUAGUUAUGUGCCUAAACUGUCUCCAAUUUCAGGUUGGUGGAUGAUGGUUUGGUGAUGAUCCAGCAGUGUGUCGCGGUGGCCAAGAAGGCCAAUGUGAUUUUGGGUUCAUUAGAAGGAGUGUGGCCAGCAGGCCAAGGAAGGUGAUCCUCCCCCUCUUCUCUGCCCUGGUCAGGCCUCACCUGGAGUACUGUAGCCAGUUCUGGGCUCCCAGGUAGAAGAAAGACAGGGAUCUUCUGGAGAGAGUCCAGCAGAGGACCACAAAGAUGAUAGAAAGCCUGAAGAAUCUCCCCUAUGAGUGACGUGGCUCUGUUCAGCCUUGAGAAAAUAAGUAUGAGAGGUGAUCUUACUAAUGUUUAUAAAUAUAUUAAGUGCGGGAAUCAAAGAGACAUGGUCAACCUGUUUUCAGUGGUUUGAGGGGAUAGGACAGUGAAACGGCCAUAAACUGGAGCAUAGGAAGUUCUGCACCAAUAUGCGAAGGAACUUCUUCACAGUAAGGGUAACAGGAUACUGGAACAGGAUGCCCAGGGAGGUUGUGGAUUUUCCUUCUCUGGAGAUAUUCAUGACCUUCCUGGAUGCCUACCUGUGCAGUCUGCUGUAGGGAACCUGCUUUGCAGGCUUGAUGAUCUCUGGAGUUCCCUUCCAACCCCUAAAAUUCCAUGAGUCUGUGAUUUAGUUAGGGUAACCCAUGCUUAAGGAUCAUGUGCAUGUUAUGGCAUUUGGUGAAACAGCACUUCCCUGAUAAGUUCACAUCAAUCAAAUCUUUUAAAUUCCUAGCAAGUUUGAAGACUAAUAAAAGGCAACUAAGUAGUAAGAAAGCCUUUUUGGAUAGGAAGAUUUCUUUCCAAUAAUUCAGCUAAUCUGUUAUUACACAAAAUGCUUACCCUCUAAGGUAUGAUCCUUAUUUCAUAAAUUGUGCCAUCAACUGCACCAUCACUUAACUCCAGUUCAUGAAUUGCCCUUUUGAAAAUGAGGAGGAAGGACUGAAAAGGAAUUGGUGACUUCUGUGAGUUCUAUUAAUAAAGCUGAUUUAUAUCAGUCAUUCAAUUCUAACAUACUUAAUCAUCUGCAGUGUGAUACAGUGCAGUGAUCGUGGUGAAAAUUCAUCAGCUAAAGGUGACUGUUGGCAUCCAUAGUAUAGGCAGCAAAUAGCUGUGGAAGCAAGGGACUGGCUAGGUUGACUUUUCCCACUUCUUAAGAGGUCUGUGGCUGAAAUCUGACUUUUCAGUUAUUCCUUACAAGUGCUUUGUUAAUUUCUGACAUGCUCACCAAACUUUUCUCCUUUUUGUGUUCUUGCACUUCUGCAAAGCUGGAGGAGAGGGAAAUAAAAGAGAGUGCAUGCUUGUCUAAUCAUGGAAGUUUGCAUGCAUCUAUGUAUCUAUAUCUAUAUCCAUACCUAUGUGUGUCUACCUAUAACUAGCACUAUUUAAAUUUGGCUAUCAGAGUAAAAUAUGGAAAUAUAAUUUAAUAUUCAUUUAAUAUUCACAUAGCCCAUUUGAAUAACUUUUUACUGUGGUUGCUAUUAGAAAUAUCCAGCCAUUACUCUCUCCCCUCCUGCUUAGCUGAGGACUUUGCAAUAAAUCCUUUUGCCUUUUGGCAAAAUCAGAAAAGAAUACAAUGAAAUAGCUUCUUUAAAAAUAUGAAGAGAAGUGACCUGAGGCUAGCUGCAAGUCAGUGAAAAGGAAACAAAUCAUUUUUAUAAUGGUUGAUUCUCCUGGAAGAUUUCUAGUGAGAUCUUCGUUCACGUGAGUCUUUUUCAGGAAACAUUUUUUUUUACAGUGUAAACACUCAGUUGCUGAGAUUUCUGGUUACAGUCUUUGGUGGUUUCUCUCUUUUUUUAUGUUUUUUUUUUUUUUUUUUUUUUUUUUUUUUUUUCCCCCAACUAGUGAUUCACAGUCUUUGGAAUAUUUAUUUUCCUGACUGGAUCAAGGAUAUUCAUACUAAAAAGACAUAGCUUCCCUUAUAUGAAAUCAUGGUAUAUUCAAAUGCACUGCCUAUGUCAGUAACUUAAGACAUAUUUAAACACCUUUAAAUGUCAAAUACCCAUUUUUUGUGCUGGUAUUUUAUUAGAAAAAUAACCAUCAGAUAUCCUGCCUAGUGAAAUAAGUCUAAAAGAUCCUUAUAAUUGAGAGGAGACUUCAGGGAAAUAUGUGAAUAUUUAAUGAAAAAAAAUUAGCAUUGGUACAAAAGUUAUUUAACAACAAUUGUCUUUGUGAAGAUCCUGCUCUCUACAGUGCCUCAUAGUACUCUACAAGUAUUAAGCCUCUCCUGGAAAUGUGGAGAGAAAGUAUCCUUUUAGCAUCUGAAGGAAUACAAUAAUAAAGGUGUAGCUGCACAAGACUCAUGCAUUUCAAAGUCAUCUUUUUUUUUUCUACACAACAAUUACUAGCUAUCUACUAAUCUAAAUUGCCCCAUGCUGCUUGCAUUCUUUAAUUUUGCUACAUUUUUCUGUCUUAUUUCUUGAAUAUUAGUUAAUUUUUCAGGGUUUAUGGCAGUUUCACAUAUUUUACAUGCAUUAUCUUUUUUUUUUUUUUAAGAAGUGCAUAUUAGUAUCUCGUGAUUUAGAUCCUAGAGAACAAUUUAAUAUAUUUUUAUAGGACUGCUACAGGAACUUCACUAUUUUUUAAUUGGACUGUUGGAAAUAGCUCACUUGGCAUCCUUAUGUCUUUGGUCCCAGGCAUGCACUAUAAUUUCAAGACCAGAAAGGCUGAUUUCUUAUUCUGCAGAUUUCUACAUAGCAGCACAGCUGUGCUGCUGAUGGGACUGACCUUUGCUCACUAGUUAUUGAAUAUACAAAUGUUUUCUAAAGCCGUUGUGUAGCAAAAUUAUAAGCUGUUGUUUUUCUCUCAUGUACAUAAAUCACUUGUUCUAACAGAUAGGUUAGUUGCAUUUGAACCCUCAUCUGUAUUGAUUUGUAUUAUAUUAAUCCAUGGGUAACAGGGAAUGCUGCCAGAAGCAGGGAUUUAAUUUAAAACCAGAGAUGACCUAACAAUCAUGAAUUCCCAAAAUAAGGGAAAGUACAGAAAUAUGAAAAGAAAAUGUUAUCUUGUCAGUGCUUAAUCUUCUCAUAGCUACAUCAGUGAGAAGAUAAAUACUUUGAUGUUAUUACUGUUACAGUGGAUAAUAAUAUUCUUUUUUAUAUUUUCUUACUUUGUUUAAGGAUCCAAAAUCUUGAGGAAUACGCAGACAAUAAUUUAAAAAAAGCAGAUGACUUCAAAAUUAAGAAAACUAGACUUCUAGUUCUUCCAAACAUAAUGAAUACAGAAACUUUAUAAAUUGAUCUGUCUUCUGUUUCAAAGAACAGUCUUGCUUACUGUUUCUUUUGCCAGGGAACUGGACAUUAACGAAUUCGUUUUGUAAGCAACAGGUGGACAGUGAGGGGAAAAAGAAAAGAGAGAAGUUUAAAAAAGGUUAAAAAUCAAAACAAAUGGCAUUUUCAUGCCUGCCUCAAAAUGCCAGUCAGGCCUUCUGUAGAAACUAUGGCCAUGCACAAUACUGUGCUUCGCUGCAAUUGGUUUAUACCCGCUUGUACAACAAAUGGUACACAAAUAAUGAAAUUACAUAAUGGAAAGUCUUCUAGAACUGGAGUGCACAAUCUAUCUUCUCAUCACCUCCUUUUGAGAAAUGUAUCUUUAACUUUGACCCUUUCAGGAAGGUAGGAUAAAAAAAAAGUUAUUUUACAAAAUACAAACAAAUGAGUCAGACUAGAGCAGGAAUUUGACAUUUUAGUACAAGAUACAAUAAAAAUGACUAAGCAGAACUGAUUAGUGUAGCAUUUAUCCUGACUUUUGUAUUUGGUAGGAUUUCAGCCUGAAUUAAAAGGUAGGUAAAGAAAAUUUGAAUUUACUGUGGAAUGAAUUCACAUAAAAGACUGAUUUUUAACAAGGGAAUGCAGGCAAUUGGAACCUGCUGAUAUUCUAGUCUCAGCCUUUGGAAAAGAAGUAAUUGUAAUUUUGAGGUAUUAUGCAUCAGACACCUUUUAUGAGUGAUCAAGUAUAUUUUCUUAAUCACUGACUUUAAAAUCUCCCUUUGAAUGACAUGAAUUUGAAUGGAAUGGAGAUAUGUGUUGUUUCUUCUUCACUGUACAAUUUCAAAAUGACCACGUUGUUGAAUAACAGAAAAGAGCACAUUUCAACUUGUUAAGCUUUCUGUUGUUUUAUGUUUAGUAUCAAAAGUAAAUUUUUCUAUUUUUAGUGGAAAUUGGGAAGUAUAGUAAGCUUAUUCCAACUGUUUUCUAGUUAUGAAAAUGAAGAGUUAAGUAUAAAAAAAUAUUUAAUUAUAUAAUUUAUAUAAUUAUAGUUUUUGUUAUAAUCAUGAUGUGCAAUACUUAAUAAUAUUUUUAUUUAUAAAGAAAUAUUUAAUGGAUACAGUUUUUCAUAUUUUGACAGAAAUUCUCCACUUUUUCCUCCUCUGUUGGUGAGUUAUAAUAUAUUGCUCUUUCAACACAUUACUGUUUUAUUCUCAUUGUUUCAAAAAAACUGCUUCUAUUCUUUUCCAGAUAACACAUAUCUGGAAUUUCUUCACAGUUAAGGACAUCUUAAGAGUAACAUUUAAAUGCUUGUAAGCUAGAAUCAACUCCUUCCUUCUAACUGCCAAGUUUUUCAAGAAGGGAGUUCCAAUAUAAUGAAUCAAAUACAACUAUCCAGUAUAUCACGCAAAGAUGCUAUGAGACAGUUAAAGACUGAUAAAGACGUAUAUAUAUGCUUACAAACCGAUCCAUAUUUAGGCUUAGAGAACCUGAGUCAAAAGCAAGUACAUUGAGCUGAACAGAUAAACGUCAACUCUUGGCCUCGUAGAUACUGUUAAUAAAACUAUCACUUAAGUAUCAAUUAUUCAGCAUCAUUAUUUAGGCUGUGAUACAUUACAGGCAAAGCUACUUGAAGACAUGCUAUGUCCAGAAGGAUGAUUCUACUCCACACCUUUCUGCCAUGUUUUUUUUUUUUUGUGUGUAAGUACUGUGGAACAUACAGUAACAUGGUGAGCUGUACUGACUGCAAACAUUUACAAAAUAACAUUAUUGUUCAGUUGCAUCAGGAAUUCCUCAGAAGACAUAUUAUUUAUAAUCACAGUAGAAGGGAUGUAGGAGCAUGUGCCUGGGGGCUAUUUUGACACCAAUAUGUCCAAGAUUAACUUUAAAUGUCUUACAACAAGAGAAACAAUAUGUAUGUUGGAUGUGCAUACAAGAAUAACUGCUAAUUGUCUUUUUGGGCUUCCUUAAAUAAUGUGUUUGUAAAUAAAAUUUUACAGCAGCCCACAGGAUGCUGUUCCAAUGCACUGUCCUGGGAUACGAACUGGUAUGUGCAAAAGUUACAGCAACCACAUCUCACUUCAAAGCCAGCAAAAAGUUGACUCAUCAUGAUCCUUUUUUUUCUACACAGAACUGAGAGAUUUUGAGGAAUACUUAAAAAAAGAAUACCACUUUAAUUUGUCAGUUCACAUUUCUAACCAUUCACACACCUUCAAAGCUUAGUUAUUCUUUCACUUAAGGCAUGCAGUUGUGCUGGAAUAUGCUUCAUAAAUCUAUGUUAUUGAUACUCUGGAUUUUAACUUAACAGGGACUGUCCAUGUUGCAUACAUAUGCAAAAGUUUAGUCAAGUAUAUGUGCUUUAAAUCUUCUGCCCCUUUCCUCCCUCCUUAAAUACUAAAUAUUUUUUGUCUUGUUCAGGUACUAAUGAUGUUAUAAAAUACAGACAGAAAAAUUAAAUAGCAUUUAGUGUUGAUGGAAUUUGUGAUAAUUGUUUGAACUUCAGUGAUUAUUUUGAUCCUAAUCAAAAUGAUUCGAUUUAUUUAUUUAUUUAUUUUCAAGGAAAUUUCUUCAGAUCAUGUUGGCUUAAUUUUUUUUUUCAUUAUCAUUUCUCAUCCCUAAUGAAUACUUAAUGAUGCUCAAGUUAUAUCCACAGCUUUUGUGAUAACUCACAAUAUUUCAGAGUCCAUCCCAGAAUGAAAGAACCAAUUCUCAUGCUGUGCUUUGUUUCCUUGGCUUGUGUGAGUUUACUGGGUAGAUGAGAGUUCAGCAUAUGUUCCUUAGAAUACUUAGAAUGUUUCUGAUUAAAUAAAUUUAAAAUGUAAUUUAAGUUAUUAUUUAGCAUGCCCUCUAGAAAGAAAAUACAUGGAGGUGUUUUAUAAAAGAACACCUGAAUGAUGCUGUGUGCUCUUCUGAGCAGCCUUUGACCAAAGAGAGAAUGUGAAACAAAGAUAAGAAAGUUUACUUAACACCACACUCUUAUGUAUUUGUACUGACUUACCUGAAGGAAGGCACAGGACUUGUUCCCUUUAUGAUCCACAAAAGGAAACAAACAAUAAUUGGGGUAAUGUUUGUGUGCUGUCUCCUACUGAAAUACUCACAAGGACCAGGACACAAGGGGGGCUCUUGUACUACAUUGGAAGUAGUACAGUAGUGUCAGAUAAGCUUUCCUCACUGCUGCACACUGCUGGAGCCCAAAUAGUGAAUAAUAUGAGCAGAUAUUUAGUCAACUACUACUACUUGACAUACCUUUCUUCCAUAUUGUAAUAUUUGUUGCCCAUGCCCUGGAGUAAUUGUCCUACUGUAUUUUUAAUAAUCACUUCAUUCUUGCUAUACCCAUGAAAUAUUGUCUUUAGACAAAAAGUUCACCCUGGAGGUAGCAUACCUUUUCACUUUCUGCAGUUCAAAGGAGAGUGCCUUUGGCCUUGCCACUGUUUGAAAAUUUAAUGUUUGUAAUUUCCUCAUUGCCAGCAAUAAAAGUAACAGUGGGACUGACUUCUAUACAGACGAGUUUCAUCAUAUAUCUUUUUAUCACAGCUAAGAAAUGACUGAAACACAGGGCUCUAGCUCUGCUAAUGGCAUAUUGGUGUGUGGUUGCUAUGCUGCUGUUGCUGCUGUAAGAUGGAUAUUAUUUCUUCUUAGCAAAUUGGCAUAAGUGACUUCCCCCUACUCCCCCUCUUCUCCACUGCUAACAGAUGGAACAACAGUCUUCCCAUACUCAGUAGGAGAUAUGGGAAUUAGUAGAAGUCAUCUAGCUGUGUCAUCAGGGAAUGUGUUGUUGAUGCUUGAACUAGCAGAUCGGUAUUUUUGCUGUUCUGAGUUUGUAACUAGCACUUCUUUUGCCAGAGGCUGUUUUUGUGUUUGUUGUUGAAAAUAUAAAUUCCUUCCCUCCUCCCAGUCUCCUAGACCAGCAGUAGAAGCUUUCGUAGGCUGCUGACAAACCUUUCAUGGAAAUCUUCUGGAGGAGGAAAUGCUGCACUAUCUCAUGGAUAAAACUUUAAAAUUCAACAUAGUCUUUACUGUUUACAAUGCCCAAAUGGAAUGUGGAAAGAAAACAGAGUACUUGCCCACAGAACCCUAAGAUUAUUUAAUUAUUUGAACCUAGAAGUGCAUGAAUAAAUGCUGUCCCAUCAGAUUUCUUUGCUGGUUGAAUUCUAGACUACUCAUGAGUGUAAAGAUUCUUGUAUUUGCAGCUGUUUGAUGAGUUCAAACACUAGCCCUGUAUGCAGUUUACAGUUUACCAGAUGUACAUAAUAGAGAGACAACAAAAAUUAUGUUAUUUUGAUGACUUUAUUUUUUCUCUUUUAGUUCUGUGAAUUCUGUACAGCUCUGAACAUGAUUUACAGUUGCAGCCUUGUCAGAAGUUAAAAGAACUUCAUACCUUCAUUUGUUCUCACUGAACUUAGAUUUUAUGUGAUGUAAGAUUUGUAAUGGUGUUGUGCGUUGAAAUGGAAGUGCAAAGAGAUUCCUUAGGAUGCAAUUCGUUUGCAGCUCACUGCCUCUGAUUGAUAUGAAAGGCUGUUUUACACACUGUUAAUGGAUUUGGGCCAUAGCAAUAUUUUACGCUUUACAAAAAGCUGGGUUUUAGGUACAGUGGCAACUCUGGUGGCUUGCCAGAAUAACUGACCUUGGUUUAUCAGUGGGAGUCAUAGAAUCAUAGAAUAUCCUGAGUAGGAAGGGACCCAUAAGGAUGAUUGAGUCAGCUCCUUGGUCCUUGCAUGACCACCCAAAUUUCAAACCUUAUGUCUGAGAGCACUGUCCAAACGCUCCUUGAACUCCGGCCCUGGGCAGCCUGAUCCAUGCCCACUACCCUCUGGUGCAGCCUAGAAGCCUUCCCUAACACCCAGCUGCCCCUCCCCUGACAGCUCCAUGCUGUUCCCUUGGGCCCUGUUGCUGUCACAGAGAGCAGAGCUCAGUGCUGCCCCUCGUCUCCCUGUGAGGAGCUGCAGCUGCCAUGAGACCUCCCCUCAGCUCCUCUGCUCUGCGCUGAGCACACCAAAGAACCUCAGCCAUUUCUUUUGUCUUCCUAUCUAGACCCUUUUCCAUCUUUGUAGUGUAUGAGUCUCUAUGAUGUCAGCCUUCAAGACCAUAGCAUUCAUGGUGAAAUGGUAGAAGUGAAGUUUUUUUUAUCGAGAAGUCCUUUGAGUAAUACAGGACAGAUGGAUGAACUCAGCUGUUUUGAUAGUCAGUCCAGUAAAAGUGGUAAAAUGCAGAGAAGGCUGACUGGCAGUUGGAGGUUGAAAAUCAAGGAUAUUCUUUUGGGUGGGUACCUUUGUAGUUAUUCAUUCAUAACUCACUGCAGGACAUUUCACAUAAGAUGCUGUGAAAACAUAGACUUUCUGCCAAAUGUUUGGAUUUUGGACAGAGAUCUCACUUGCUUACACUGAUAAUAGUAUAAACAUUACAUGGGGGCAGGAAAAAAACACAGAAACAAACAAUUUUAUAUUGUUAAAAGGAGGUCCAAAAUAUCUUGGCAGUGACCAGUUUGUUAUUUACUGCCUCAGGUUUCCUUGCCAGCAUUUAAAUUAAAAUGGACUAGAAUCAAAUCACUUCUAUCAGUACCUUGCUCUAACCUUUGGUUAAGCAGAUCAUUUUCAGCUUGUUAGAAUGUUUAAUCUAUAACAAAACUGCAUCACACUAUCACUCCUUGGCACAUUUGUUUGACUGGUGAAUAGGAUCCUACCCAGGAUCAUUUUCCUGCACAGCUACAGAAUUUUAAUUCCAUGGUCUCUUUAUAAGCCACUUGAUGCUGUCAUCUGCCUAGUUUGCAAAACAUUUUUUCUCCUUCUGAGAAAUGUGAUUUAUUAUAUUAUUACCCAAAGAGAAUGUCAUUUCAGUAGUGCCAAAUGUGCACCAUUCAAGAGAAAAAGACAUUCAAAGAGAAAAGAUCUUCACCGUUACAGUGAGGCUCUGUGGUCUGUGAAGACAUAUUUCAUUCAGUUCUAAAACCUCCUCUCCAAAUAGUUCAAGAUUGUCUAUUUGUGUUAAUUUCUUUUGCUUAGCACUGGUGACAUAUUUGUCAGUACUCAAUGACCACACUUUCACAGAAUGAUGACUACGGACAAAGCCAACAACAAAAAAAACUCACAGACUUUUCUAGAGUAGCCUCUCCUACUUUCUGUGACAUGCCAUAAUUUCAUCUCUGUUUUUAGAACUUGCAGCAUGCAUCAGAAAUGUUGAUGGUUCUUUUUAAAUUUCAUAUGAAAAUCAAGAGAGAUAUUAACUGAAUUUCUUACAAAAUAGAGAGUUGACGGAUCCCAGUUCUAUGAAGUGAGGAAUCCAGUGAGUUAUAUUUGUUACACUUAGACAGCUCACAGUCAAAGACAAGUGGUAAUAACAAGAAGUCAUAUUUGUUCACAAGAGAAUAUUGCAUGCUAUGAAUGCACAUCCAAAUAUUAACUAAGUUGCAUUUUCUAUUUGUUUUAAUAUGUCUAUUUGUGAAUGGCAGCCAUAAAGAUAGAAAUGCUAGGUUUUUUUUUGUUUGUUUGUUUUUUUAAAUGAGUACUCUCAGAGCUGUAAACUCUUACUUAAGAAAUAAUUGUCUAGAGAAGAGAUUUCUUUCAGUAGAUGAGUGUUAUUAAGAAGUAUUUCCUGACCUGAAACUACCUCUUGGGGAAGAAAAGCAGUAGGCUGAUAAGCACAUUUCUUAAUUCUCAAGAAUUCCACUUUGUGUAUAAAGUAAGAGAGAAUCCCAGGACAGAUGUGAAAAGGCUGACGUGGAGAUGAUAUGUCAAACUUAACUGGCUUUGAAAAAAGGGUUAAAUAACCUUGGUUCAACCAAAGCGAAGGGUUAAGAGACUGACAACCUCAUCAGUUAAGAAAAUACCAAAAGUAUCCUCUCAAGAUUACUGUGACUAUAGCUAUAUAAUCUAUCCUUUUCUGUUCUUUCAGGUUCCUUCUCAGCAGAUGAUAGAUUGGGAAGCAAAACCCAGUGGCUCUCUCUGUUCUAGCUUCUGCAGUUCAAAUGUCCUGCUGCUUCCAUACUUGAUUAUGGAUUUGAUGUGUAUUUAGGGGCAGUAUUUAGUUCAGAAAAUUUAUGUUAUUAAACUGUUGGCAUGAUUUAUGUAUGAAUUAGACAUCUGUUCAUAGUUCUGUCAGUCGUCUCACAAGAAGAGCCUUCCUAAGACAUUUAAUGAUGAAGAAAAAAGAAUGCAGUGUAGAAAAUUCUACUGAGCAGCUUAUGUUGCAUCCAUAUGACAAUUUUAUCAAACCCUAUGAAUUUUUUUUUUUUUUUAAUUCAGGUUAGCAAUCUUUGUGGAAGAGGCAAUAAUCAAAGGCAAAUGCAUCCAAUUUGUUAGAGCAUCAUACUUUCAAUUUUAUCGUUGGGAAGAUGGUUUUUGUUCCUUUAUAAAGUAGCUUUUAGCAUCAUGGGCACAGGUGUUUUUUGUUAUUGUUGUUUAGUUUUGUUUAUAUAUAUAUAUGUAUGCGGAUGAUUGCUAACUAAAAUCAUUGCCAUAUUAUUGUACAAAGAUAUUACUAAAUUUUGAUAACUAGAAUAUGCCUCUAGUGAGGAAAGAUCUAUUCCUAACACCACAUGGAUUUUUUAAAUUCCCUGUUUCAUGUUGUGUCCUACCUAUAUAUAUAUGCAAGUUUUAAAAUUUAAAGUGUUCAAAUAUAACUUUUCAGUAUAUUUCACUGGAAAAAAGAGUUUUGCUUUAAAAAUCCUUCAGCUUAAGUUUUUGUUUUGCAUGCAUAUAUUUCCCCACUGCAAUUCCUUUUCUGUUUUCAUCAAUGUUGUAUGAGAGAAGAAAGGAAAAGGAUACAGGGAAUACUUUUAUCAACGACUCCACAUCUUGACAAGGAGUACAUAUUAGAGAAAGCAGCAAACAUACUGUUAGGUAUGAAGCAACAGUAAGACAUAUACUUUUCUGCUCCAGUCCUUUCAGUUUUGUUCCAAGAUAUUAUUAUAACAGUCUCAAAUAUAUUAUACGUACUUUCAGUUUAAGAAAUAAGGGAUUAUUUCAGAAAAUAUCUCAGCUUGAUUCCCUCACUAUUGUAGUUUAUCCCAAGGGGAAACAAUUAGAUGCAUUCACUCAUGUACUUUGUCUGAUAAUCGCUAUAGCAGUUAAAUUUCAGCAGCAUUUCUUAUCUAGUUCUAUUAUCAUUAAUUCUAUUUUAUUUAAAAUGUUAAUAUCUGGGUUAAAAUCUUCCACAGGCAUAUUCUGAUACAUCUAUCCUCCCUGAAAAGUAUGAGCAAAAAUAUGUUUAUUAAAACAAAUUCAAAAACUACUUUUCUGCUAUAUACCUAACUUGAAAUAUUUUAAAAGUAAGAGAAGCAAGAACACAGCUGGGGGUAGAAAGUGAAAAGUGAGCCAGAAAAUAAUCUUGACUGAGAAGUAUUUUUGAACAGUUCUGUUGGUAAUCAAAUUUUGUUUCACUUAGUGAAUUUAUGAAAACAAAUACAAGCCACAUCCCCGACAAACAUGUACAGAUCUCACACCAUAAAAUGAAGAACUCUUGUUUACUGCUGAUGAAAAUAUAUAGUUACUGUUGAUGGUAGUGUUGAAAAAUAGUUUUUAUGUAGCUGAGAAUUUGCUCUAUCAAAUAGUGUUGUAUUCUUUGUUGUAGUUAUCACGGGAAUAAAUAGGAGGCAUUACUUUUGGGGAGACCUACAUAAAUUGAACUGGGCAGAAUAUCACAAACCAGAGAUCUUUAUGUUUCUCUGAACAUGAUAGGUUCUAAUGGCAUAAAAUUAAGUUUUUUCUUUUACUUUUUUCAAAUGCUCACCCCACUGUUAACACACAGGACACACUGAAGAGAUAAGAAGCAUACAUGUCAACAUUUUCCAAAUACCUGACUCUCUUUUUUGUUUUGUUUUGUUGAAACAAAACUAUUUUUUCAAAGGAAGGGAUUACAUUAACCGUGAUCAUAAAAGACUUUAGCUAAUUUGUCUAUUUUCAGUAACGAAGACUAGGAAAAAGGAAACUAAUAAAAGUGAUGCUUUGUUGUUUAGAGAUACCAGCUGUCCUACAUGGCUACCCAAGAAGUGAUAGCAGAGGCUAAUAGAAAGGCUAAUAGGGCCCUGCAAUAGAGGAACAUGCAAUGAUAAAUGAUGGCUUGUUUCCCAUAGUUGAAGGGCAGCCUGGAAGGUUUUGGGAAAAUGUACAGAGGCUGAGGUAAAACAUCAUUUGAACAGUCUUAUGACUUUGUUUUGUUUUAUGUUGUUUUUCUCCAAAGCAUUUUUCUUCCAGUGAUAUCUUGAUUAGACAAAAAAUCUUUCUUUCUUUUUAUUGAAAUAUCUGCUCAAAAGUAGCUAAAGGCUUGCAUUUGGGUGUGAGACCAAGUGUAAGAUCAUGCACCCAAGUGCAACGUCCUGCAUCUGAGUCAGAGCAAUUCCAAGCACAAAUACAGGCUGAGCAGAGAAUGGAGUCAGAUCAACAAUGUGGAGAAGGUUUUGAGGGUUCUGGUGGACAAAAAUUUUGACACAAGCAAGCAGAGUUGCAUUUGCAGACUGGAAGGCCACCUGUAUUCUAGGCUGUGUUUCUAUUCUGCCCUUGUAAGGCCCCAUCUGGAGUACUUCAUCCAGGCCUGGGGCCCUCAGCACAAUAAAAGCAUAGAGGAGUUGGAGCAGGUCCAGAGAAGGGCCACAGAGAUUCUCAGAGGGCUGAAGCAGUUCUCCUCUGAAGACAGCUUGAGGGAGCAGAGCUUGUUCAGCCCAGAGAAGACUCUGGGGAGACCUCACUGUGACCUUCCAGUACCUAAAAGGUGUCUACAGUAAAGAAGGAGAGAGCCUCUUUCUCGGAGAGUGUAGUGACAGGACAAGAGGUCUUGGUUUUAAACUAACGGAGGGUAAGUACAGAGGGUAAGUUUAGAUUAGACACAAUGAAUACAUUUUUUACUGCAAGGAUGGUAAGGCACUGGCACAUGCUGCCCAGAGGAACUAUGGAUGCCCUGUCCCUGGAGAUGUUCAAGGCCAGACUGGCUGGGGCCAUGGGCACCCUGAUCUAGAGGGCAGCAACCAUGUCUUAUGGCAGUUGACUGAAACUGGAUGGUCUUCAAGGUCCUUCCAAACCCCAAUCAUUAUGUGAUAAUAAGUCUGUAUUGCUUGAAAAAUAAAUACUAUGUUUCAAAUAAUUAAUUCUGUUUUUAUUCUUUUAAGAGAAGAAGAAACUUCAGUUUGAACUAUAAGUCAAACAAACAUUCAAGCAAUACAGACUUAUUAGGCCAAGAACUAGAAAAUGUUUAGAUGUUUCUUCCCUUUAUGCAAUCUAAAUAAUCUUAUUUUAUUUUAUUUUAUUUUAGUAAUGUUUGUGUCAGUAAUUAAUAGAAAGUGUUUCAAAGCUACCUUCUCUUAGUGUGUUUGGCAUCUUCAUACUAUUGAUACCGACAAGUUGAUUCUAAAAAUUAAUUACAUAAUACAUGUUGUUGAUUUAGUUCAGUUUAAUUUUUUAAAUCACAGUUCCAUGUCAUUUAAAAUACAGAGCUAGAAUAUAGGAAUAAAUUGAUUAGUCUAACUUAGAAGACAAAAUUUAUUUAAUGUCAGUGUCCAGAAAUACAAAGCAUAUACAUGUCUGUAAGGGUAUGUUAGAGCAAGGUUGUAUUGUAACUGCAAGGCAAUGUUUUCAGUCUGUAGCAUAUUUUUUGCUACUUCAUUUAAAGAGUUAUCAUGACCUUGUGUGGUUAACACUGUUGUGUAUUUUACAGAAGGGUCCUACUGCAUGGGUAGCUUUCAGUUAUGAAUAGAUGUGCCGUUUCUUUUCUUCCUGCAGUACAGGGAAAGAAAAAUCCUACAACAUAUAUACCAUAUUUGGACAUGAGCCAGCAGUGUGCACUUGAAGCCCAGAAGGCCAACUAUGGCUGGACUGCAUUAAAAAAAACAGUGGCCCGCAGGGAGAGGGAGGUGAUUGUCCCCCUCUACUCAGCUCUUGUGAGGGCCCAUCUGGAACACUGCUUCCAGGCCUGAGGACCCCAGUACAGGAAGGACGAGAAGCUCUUGGAGUGGGUCCAGAGAAGGGCCACUAAGAUGAUCAGAGGGCUGGAGCACCUCUCCUGUGAGGAAAGGUUGAGGGAAUUGGGCUUUUUUAGGUUGGAGAAGAGAAGGCUCCAGAGAGACCUCAUUGUGGCCUUCCAGUACUUGAAGGGAGCAUAUAAACAGGAGGGGGAAUGACUGUUUACAAGGGUGGAUAGUGAUAGGACAAGGGGGAAUGGUUUUAAACUAAGACAGGGGAGGUUUAGGUUGGAUAUUAGGAGGAAGUUUUUCACACAGAGGGUGGUGACACACUGGAACACGUUGCCCAAAGAGGUUGUGGAUGCCCCAUCUUUGGAUGCAUUCAAGGCCAGGCUGGAUGUGGCUCUGGGCAUCCUGGUCUGGAGUUUGGUGACCCUGCACAUAGCAGGGUGGUUGAAACUGGAUGAUCAUUGUGGUUGUUUUCAACCCAGGCCAUUCUAUGUUAUGAUUCUAUGAUUCUUAACUGACAUUUAAAAAAAAACCCAACAACUCUUAUGGAACUUUUAAAACUUAUUUUAAGCUAGCAUUUUAAAGAGAAAAUGACUGACUAUUUUGUUUUCAGUUUUUCUGUAUUUCUUCACAACUAUUUCAUACUGAAACAAGCUAGGAGUUAGCAUGCAUAGAAGAACUUAGAACUGAGGCAAUCAGUGCAGUAAAUAUCUGCUUCUAGAACAAGACUGGGGCAAGCAGCAGCCCUUAUCCCUCCAGAAAUCAGAAGAAAAUAUGAGAAAUAAACAGUUACUUAUGCUUGUUUCUGUUAAUUUUAUCAAGGAAGCAUGAAUUUAAACAAUGACAUUUCAGUUACUUCUGCCGCCUGUUAUGCACCAACUUUACCCUCAAAUAGGUUUUUUGUUUUUCUUGAUAGCUCUAUUAAUUAUGAUUCUUUUAUGUUUUUAUCUAAUUAUAACUUCCCACAUUUGAAAGUACAAAUCUAUGUUAGAAACAAUCAUUCACAAAUGUAUAUGUAUUAGGUAAAUGCUUCACAACAACUAAUUAUGGGAAUGACCAUUAUCACAGAAUCAUAGAAUCACAGAAUCCUUACAGUUGGAAGUGACUUUUAAAGGUCAUCUAGUCCAUCUCCCCUGCAGUGAGCAGGGACACCCAUGGCUAGAGCAGGUUGCCCAGGCCCUGAUCCAGUCUCACCUUUAAGUUGCCUGGGACAGGGCAUCUACCACAUGUCUGGGCAACCUGUUCCAGUGCCUCACCACCCUUACUGUAAAAGUCUUUUUCUUUAUACCUAAUCUAAAUCCACCCUCUUUAAGCUUGAAACCAUUUCCCCUUGUUCUAUCACAACAGGCUGCUAAAGGGUGUAUCCCCUUUUUUUUCUGUAGCUCCCCUUUAGAUACUAAAAGGCCGCUAUCAGGUCUUUCUGAAGCCUUCUCUUCUCCAGGCUGAACAGCCUCAGUUCUCUCAGCUGGUCCUCAUAGGAGAGGUGUUCCAUCCCUUGGAUCAUUUUUGUGGCCCUCCUCUGGAUGCAUUCCAGCAGGUCUGUGUCUCUCCUGUACUGAGGACUCCACAUGUGGAUGCAGUACUCCAGGUGAGGCUUCAGAAGCACAGAACAGAAUCAUUUAUCAUUUAUAAAGAAAUACCAUCCUGCACAGUUCACUGGUUUACCUGGUACAAUCUGCAGACUUGGAAAGUAGAAGUAUUGGAUAUUUCAUAUGAAAGAGAAAUUUUGAUGUACACUUUUGCAGACAUGAGUUUACUAUGUAGACAAAAUACAAAUUUCUUUAGAAAUCUCUGGGAGUAUGUUGCAGCUAUGUUUGCUUGUCUUUGAAAUUGUACAUAUGUUCCAGACAUUUUUUCUUCUUUCUCACCGCAUUACACAUAAUUCUUCUUGCAAACAUAUCACAAUGAAUCUUAUUAUUAUAGUUUGUUCUGUGUACAAUUGUUGAUUAUCUUACUGAUAAAAUGUAUUUCCAAAGAAUUAAAUUCAAUUUGCUGUGAGAGUAAUUCAGGACUAGAACUGUCAAUAACGAAGUUAGGAAAUGCCAGGAGAUUUGAAAAUAAUAAUAAUACUGGGAAAAGGGCUGCAGAUUCAGAACUCUUAAUCAUGGUUUUAAGACACGGCCUCUUUUCAGAUGAGUCCAGUAUCUAUGGCUCACUUCAGAUUCAAAGGAGACUCCCAGAUUAGAAAGUCCAGAACUUCCUCAGUACACAAACAGACGUGCUUGGUGAGAACCCUGGAAUACGG